UACGUAGGUGGCAAGCGUUGUCCGGAUUUACUGGGCGUAAAGAGCGCGCAGGCGGUCAGAUAAGUCGAAUGUGAAAGCCCCCGGCUCAACUGGGGAGGGUCAUUCGAUACUGUUCGACUCGAAGGCAGGAGAGGGAAGCGGAAUUCCCGGUGUAGUGGUGAAAUGCGUAGAUAUCAGGAGGAACACCGAUGGCGAAGGCAGGUCUCUGGGCCACUACUGACGCUGAGAAGCGAAAGCAUGGGGAGCGAACAGG
rnacentral:rRNA from 1 species